GGCUCAGGAUGAACGCUGGCGGCGUGCUUAACACAUGCAAGUCGAACGAUGAAGCCCAGCUUGCUGGGUGGAUUAGUGGCGAACGGGUGAGUAACACGUGAGUAACCUGCCCUUAACUCUGGGAUAAGCCUGGGAAACUGGGUCUAAUACCGGAUAGGAGCGUCCACCGCAUGGUGGGUGUUGGAAAGAUUUAUCGGUUUUGGAUGGACUCGCGGCCUAUCAGCUUGUUGGUGAGGUAAUGGCUCACCAAGGCGACGACGGGUAGCCGGCCUGAGAGGGUGACCGGCCACACUGGGACUGAGACACGGCCAGACUCCUACGGGAGGGCAGCAGUGGGGAAUAUUGCACAAUGGGCGAAAGCCUGAUGCAGCGACGCCGCGUGAGGGAUGACGGCCUUCGGGUUGUAAACCUCUUUCAGUAGGGAAGAAGCGAAAGUGACGGUAGCCUGCAGAAGAAGCACCGGCUAACUACGUGCCAGCAGCCGCGGUAAUACGUAGGGUGCGAGCGUUAUCCGGAAUUAUUGGGCGUAAAGAGCUCGUAGGCGGUUUGUCGCGUCUGUCGUGAAAGUCCGGGGCUUAACCCCGGAUCUGCGGUGGGUACGGGCAGACUAGGAGUGCAGUAGGGGAGACUGGAAUUCCUGGGUGUAGCGGUGGAAUGCGCAGAUAUGCAGGAGGAACACCGAUGGCGAAGGCAGGUCUCUGGGCUGUAACUGACGCUGAGGAGCGAAACAUGGGGAGCGAACAGGAUUAGAUACCCUGGUAGUCCAUGCCGUAAACGUUGGGCACUAGGUGUGGGGACCAUUCCACGGUUUCCGCGCCGCAGCUAACGCAUUAAGUGCCCCGCCUGGGGAGUACGGCCGCAAGGCUAAAACUCAAAGGAAUUGACGGGGGCCCGCACAAGCGGCGGAGCAUGCGGAUUAAUUCGAUGCAAGCGCGAAGAACCUUACCAAGGCUUGACAUGUUCCCGAUCGCCGUAGAGAUACGAUUUCCCCUUUGGGGCGGGUUCACAGGUGGUGCAUGGUUGUCGUCAGCUCUGUCGUGAGAUGUUGGGUUAAGUCCCGCAACAGCGCAACCCUCGUUCCAUGUUGCCAGCACGUAAUGGUGGGGACUCAUGGGAGACUGCCGGGGUCAACUCGGAGGAAGGUGAGGACGACGUCAAAUCAUCAUGCCCCUUAUGUCUUGGGCUUCACGCAUGCUACAAUGGCCGGUACAAUGGGUUGCGAUACUGUGAGGUGGAGCUAAUCCCAAAAAGCCGGUCUCAGUUCGGAUUGGGGUCUGCAACUCGACCCAUGAAGUCGGAGUCGCUAGUAAUCGCAGAUCAGCAACGCUGCGGUGAAUACGUUCCCGGGCCUUGUACACACCGCCCGUCAAGUCACGAAAGUCGGUAACACCCGAAGCCGGUGGCCUAACCCUUGUGGGA
rnacentral:rRNA from 1 species